UUGUAUUUUUCUUCAUUAGAAUUGUCAAAACUCUCUUUUAGUUUGGCUCACUUAAAUGUAUUUUAGCAUAAAAUUUUGAGUAACAAAACGCUACAUACAUAGAAAUCUAUUUUUUUGUAACAUAAUUAAGGUGAUGUAAUAUGUUGCUGGCGAUGUCUGGAGAUCCGAAAACACAAGAAUCAGACGCAAUAGUUUGUCACACCAAGUGCCGCAUUCCACAACGUUUAUCAUCCGCACGGCAACGAUCUGGGAAAAAUAACCCAAACGAACAAACGAAAAACGAAGGCUCAAAAGGGCUAAAUAAGGAUUUAGCAAGGUCACAUUUG